rnacentral:rRNA from 1 species
GAGCGGACCGAUGGGAGCUUGCUCCCUUUUGUUAGCGGCGGACGGGUGAGUAACACGUGGGUAACCUGCCUGUAAGACUGGGAUAACUCCGGGAAACCGGGGCUAAUACCGGAUGCUUGUUUGAACCGCAUGGUUCAAACAUAAAAGGUGGCUUUAACUACCACUUACAGAUGGACCCGCGGCGCAUUAGCUAGUUGGUGAGGCAAGGGCUCACCAAGGCAACGAUGCGUAGCCGACCUGAGAGGGUGAUCGGCCACACUGGGACUGAGACACGGCCCAGACUCCUACGGGAGGCAGUAGUAGGGAAUCUUCCGCAAUGGACGAAAGUCUGACGGAGCAACGCCGCGUGAGUGAUGAAGGUUUUCGGAUCGUAAAUCUCUGUUGUUAGGGAAGAACAAGUACCGUUCGAAUAGGGCGGUACCUUGACGGUACCUAACCAGAAAGCCACGGCUAA